GAUGAAGAACGUAGCGAAAUGCGAUAAGUAAUGUGAAUUGCAGAAUUCAGUGAAUCAUCGAAUCUUUGAACGCACAUUGCGCCCGCCAGUAUUCUGGCGGGCAUGCCUGUUCGAGCGUCAUUACAACCCUCAGGCCCCCGGGCCUGGCGUUGGGGAUCGGCGGAAGCCCCCUGCGGGCACAACGCCGUCCCCCAAAUACAGUGGCGGUCCCGCCGCAGCUUCCAUUGCGUAGUAGCUAACACCUCGCAACUGGAGAGCGGCGCGGCCACGCCGUAAAACACCCAACUUCUGAAUGUUGACCUCGAAUCAGGUAGGAAUACCCGCUGAACUUAAGCAUAUCAAUAAGCGAGGA
rnacentral:misc_RNA from 1 species